rnacentral:rRNA from 1 species
CAGCAGCCGCGGGAAUACGAAGGGUGCAAGCGUUAAUCGGAAUUACUGGGCGUAAAGCGUGCGUAGGCGGUGAGUUAAGUCUGCUGUGAAAUCCCCGGGCUCAACCUGGGAACUGCAUUUGUGACUGUAUAGCUAGAGUACGGCAGAGGGGGAUGGAAUUCCGCGUGUAGCAGUGAAAUGCGUAGAUAUGCGGAGGAACACCGAUGGCGAAGGCAAUCCCCUGGGCCUGUACUGACGCUCAUGCACGAAAGCGUGGGGAGCAAACAGGAUUAGAUACCCCGGUAGUCCCUGUCUCUUAUAU